GCCUGGAUAGCUCAGUUGAUUAGAGCGCAGUGCUGAAAACGCAAGGGUUGCAGGUUCAAUUCCCAUAUGGGACA